AUGAACGCUAGCGACAGGCUUAACACAUGCAAGUCGAGGGGCAGCGAGGAAGUGGCAACACUUCCGUCGGCGACCGGCGCACGGGUGAGUAACGCGUAUGCAACCUGCCCUUCACAGGGGGAUAACCGGGAGAAAUUCCGACUAAUACCGCAUACGUCCUCCGGGGGCAUCCCCGGGGGAUGAAAGAAUUAUCGGUGAAGGAUGGGCAUGCGUGAUAUUAGGUAGUUGGCGGGGCAACGGCCCACCAAGCCCACGAUAUCUAGGGGUUCUGAGAGGAAGGUCCCCCACAUUGGUACUGAGACACGGACCAAACUCCUACGGGAGGCAGCAGUGAGGAAUAUUGGUCAAUGGACGAGAGUCUGAACCAGCCAAGUCGCGUGAAGGAAGACGGAUCUAUGGUUUGUAAACUUCUUUAGUGCGGGAACAAAGCGGCGUCGUGACGCCGGAUGAGUGUACCGCAAGAAUAAGCAUCGGCUAACUCCGUGCCAGCAGCCGCGGUAAUACGGAGGAUGCGAGCGUUAUCCGGAUUUAUUGGGUUUAAAGGGAGCGCAGGCUGCGAGGCAAGUCAGCGGUCAAAUGUCGGGGCUCAACCCCGGCCUGCCGUUGAAACUGUUUUGCUAGAGUUCGAGUGAGGUAUGCGGAAUGCGUUGUGUAGCGGUGAAAUGCAUAGAUAUGACGCAGAACUCCGAUUGCGAAGGCAGCAUACCAACUCGCGACUGACGCUGAGGCUCGAAAGCGUGGGUAUCGAACAGGAUUAGAUACCCUGGUAGUCCACGCAGUAAACGAUGAAUACUAACUGUUCGGAGGGCGACCUCUGAGUGGUAAAGCGAAAGCGUUAAGUAUUCCACCUGGGGAGUACGCCGGCAACGGUGAAACUCAAAGGAAUUGACGGGGGCCCGCACAAGCGGAGGAACAUGUGGUUUAAUUCGAAGCAACGCGAAGAACCUUACCAAAUCUUGACAUCGAUCUGACCGGACUGUAAUGAGUCCUUUCCCUUCGGGGACAGAGAAGACAGGUGGUGCAUGGUUGUCGUCAGCUCGUGUCGUGAGAUGUUGGGUUAAGUCCCGCAACGAGCGCAACCCCCGCGUCCAGUUGCCAGCGAUUAGAGUCGGGCACUCUGGACGGACUGCCGGCGCAAGCCGCGAGGAAGGCGGGGAUGACGUCAAAUCAGCACGGCCCUUACGUCCGGGGCGACACACGUGUUACAAUGGCGUGGAACAGAGGGAAGCCACCUGGCGACAGGGAGCGGAACCCGAAAACACGUCUCAGUUCGGAUUGGAGUCUGCAACUCGACUCCAUGAAGCUGGAUUCGCUAGUAAUCGCGCAUCAGCCAUGGCGCGGUGAAUACGUUCCCGGGCCUUGUACACACCGCCCGUCAAGCCAUGGGAGCCGGGAGUGCCUGAAGGCCGUAACCGCAAGGAGCGGUCAAGGGUAAGACUGGUGACUGGGGCU
rnacentral:rRNA from 1 species